CAGCAGCCGCGGUAAUACGUAGGUGGCAAGCGUUGUCCGGAUUUAUUGGGCGUAAAGCGAGCGCAGGCGGUCCUUUAAGUCUGAUGUGAAAGCCCACGGCUCAACCGUGGAAGGUCAUUGGAAACUGGGGGACUUGAGUGCAGAAGAGGAAAGUGGAAUUCCAUGUGUAGCGGUGAAAUGCGUAGAUAUAUGGAGGAACACCAGUGGCGAAGGCGACUUUCUGGUCUGUAACUGACGCUGAGGCUCGAAAGCGUGGGGAGCGAACAGGAUUAGAUACCCUGGUAGUCCCAGCUAUAAACGAUGAGUGCUAAGUGUUGGAGGGUUUCCGCCCUUCAGUGCUGCAGUUAACGCAUUAAGCACUCCGCCUGGGGAGUGCGGCCGCAAGGCUGAAACUCAAAGGAAUUGACGG
rnacentral:rRNA from 1 species